AAGUCGAACCGGUAGCAGAGAAGCUUGCUUCUCUUGAGAGCGGCGGACGGGUGAGUAAUGCCUAGGAAUCUGCCUGGUAGUGGGGGAUAACGUUCGGAAACGGACGCUAAUACCGCAUACGUCCUACGGGAGAAAGCAGGGGACCUUCGGGCCUUGCGCUAUCAGAUGAGCCUAGGUCGGAUUAGCUAGUUGGUGGGGUAAUGGCUCACCAAGGCGACGAUCCGUAACUGGUCUGAGAGGAUGAUCAGUCACACUGGAACUGAGACACGGUCCAGACUCCUACGGGAGGCAGCAGUGGGGAAUAUUGGACAAUGGGCGAAAGCCUGAUCCAGCCAUGCCGCGUGUGUGAAGAAGGUCUUCGGAUUGUAAAGCACUUUAAGUUGGGAGGAAGGGUUGUAGAUUAAUACUCUGCAAUUUUGACGUUACCGACAGAAUAAGCACCGGCUAACUCUGUGCCAGCAGCCGCGGUAAUACAGAGGGUGCAAGCGUUAAUCGGAAUUACUGGGCGUAAAGCGCGCGUAGGUGGUUAGUUAAGUUGGAUGUGAAAUCCCCGGGCUCAACCUGGGAACUGCAUUCAAAACUGACUGACUAGAGUAUGGUAGAGGGUGGUGGAAUUUCCUGUGUAGCGGUGAAAUGCGUAGAUAUAGGAAGGAACACCAGUGGCGAAGGCGACCACCUGGACUGAUACUGACACUGAGGUGCGAAAGCGUGGGGGAGCAAACAGGGAUUAGAUACCCUGGUAGUCCACGCCGUAAACGAUGUCAACUAGCCGUUGGGAGCCUUGAAGCUCUUAGUGGCGCAGCUAACGCAUUAAGUUGACCGCCUGGGGAGUACGGCCGCAAGGUUAAAACUCAAAUGAAUUGACGGGGGCCCGCACAAGCGGUGGAGCAUGUGGUUUAAUUCGAAGCAACGCGAAGAACCUUACCAGGCCUUGACAUCCAAUGAACUUUCUAGAGAUAGAUUGGUGCCUUCGGGAACAUUGAGACAGGUGCUGCAUGGCUGUCGUCAGCUCGUGUCGUGAGAUGUUGGGUUAAGUCCCGUAACGAGCGCAACCCUUGUCCUUAGUUACCAGCACAGUAAUGGUGGGCACUCUAAGGAGACUGCCCGGUGACAAACCGGAGGAAGGUGGGGAUGACGUCAAGUCAUCAUGGCCCUUACGGCCUGGGCUACACACGUGCUACAAUGGUCGGUACAGAGGGUUGCCAAGCCGCGAGGUGGAGCUAAUCCCACAAAACCGAUCGUAGUCCGGAUCGCAGUCUGCAACUCGACUGCGUGAAGUCGGAAUCGCUAGUAAUCGCGAAUCAGAAU
rnacentral:rRNA from 1 species